rnacentral:sRNA from 1 species
AGAGCCCCUUCUCACCUCAGUUCGCCUCUGUGAACAUCACCACCAACCAGGCAGCUCCGUCGGCAGUGUCCAUCAUGCAUCAGGUGAGCCGCACCGUGGACAGCAUUACCCUGUCGUGGUCCCAGCCGGACCAGCCCAAUGGCGUGAUCCUGGACUAUGAGCUGCAGUACUAUGAGAAGGUACCUAUGGGCUGGGUGCUGUCCCCAUCACCCACCUCCCUGAGGGCCCCUCUCCCAGGCUGAGGCCUGGGAGUUCUGCCCCACCGCAAGACGAGACGCAUUGGUGCAGCAGAAAGAGCACUGGCCUUGGGGUCAGGCUGCCUGGCUCCCAAUCCGGCUCCACUCCUCCCCACUGUGAGACCUCAGGCAGGUGCCUUGACCUCUCUGGAUCUAACUUUUCUGGUCUGGAGGAUCUGCCCAGCAAUCUCAGUGAAAUGCAACAGUCACAUCCCUUUCCCCACCACGACCCUUUCAUCUUGACCUCAGUGGCUUGAUGUUGUGAAAAACUGGGUUUCCAGAAAGCUGCACUUAUGAAGU